rnacentral:lncRNA from 1 species
UGUAUCUUUUCACUGGGGCAUUUAGCCCAUUUACAUUUAAAGCUAAUAUUGUUAUGUAUGAAUUUGAUUCUGCCAUCUUGAUGCUAGCUGGUCAUUUUGCCCAUUAGUUGAUUUUACCAUCUGGCACAUUUUUGGAGUGGCUAGUACUGGUUGUUCCUUCCUAUGUUUAGUGCUUCUUUCAGGAGCUCUUGUAAGGUAGGCCUGGUGAUGAUGAAAUCUCUCAGCAAUUGCUUGUUCAUAUUUUAUUUCUCCUUCACUUACGAAGCUUAGUUUGGCUGGAUAUCAAAUUCUAGGUUGAAAGUUCUUUUCUUUAAGGAUGUUGAAUAUUGGCCCCUACCCUCUUCUGGCUUGCAGGGUUUCUGCCAUGAGAUUUGCUGUGAGUCUGAUGGGCUUCCCUUUGUGGGUAACCUGACCUUUCUCUCUGGCUACCCUUAGCAGUUUUUCCUUCAUUUCACCCCUGGUGAAUCUGACGAUUAUGUGCCUGGGGAUUGAUCUUCUUAAGGAAUAUCUUUGUGGUGUUCUCUGUAUUUCCUGGACUUGAAUGGUGCCCUUGCUUGCUAGGUUGGGGAAGUUCUCCUGAAUAAUAUCCUGAAGAGUGUUUUCCAGCUUGGAUUCAUUCUCUCCGUCACAUUCAGGUACACCUAUCAAAUGUAGAUUGGGUCUUUUCACAUAAUCCUCUAUUUCUUGGAGGCUUUGUUCAUUUCUUUUUACUCUUUUUUCUCUAAUCUUGCCUUCUCAUUUUAUUUCAUUGAGUUGAUCUUCAAUCUCUGAUAUCCUUUCUUCUGCUUGGUUGAUUUAGCUAUUUAAACUUGUGUAAGCUUUGUGGAGUUCUCGUGUUGUGUUUUUCAGCUCCAUCAAUUCAUUUAUAUUUUUUUCUAAGCUGUUUAUUCUCAUUAGCAUUUUCUCAAACCUUUUUUCAAGGCUCUUAGUUUCUUUGCAUUAGAUUAGGACAUGUUGUUUUAACUCAGAGAAGUUUGUUAUUACCCACUUUCUGAAGCUGUUUCUGUCAAUUCAUCAGACUCAUUCUCCAUCCAGCCUUGUUCCCUUGCUGGUGAGUAGUUUUGAUCCCUUGGAGGAGAAGAGGUAUUCUGGUUUUGGGUGUUUUCAUCCUUUUUUUUCUUAUUCUUCUGCCUUUAGCUGGUUAACUUCUGCUCAUCCUCUCAGCUUUAGCUACCUCCAGAAAGCUUUGUCUGCUCCCACAAAUUAGGUCACAUGGCUCUUCCUAGCUGCCACAGCAUUUGCUUCUAGCUCUCUUAUGAUACUUGAUGGCAUUAUAUAUUGAUUGGCCACUUAUUUUCCUAGAUCCCCAUGAAACUCUAAGCUCCACAAGGACAGGGAUCACUUCUGUAUAGCACAGAGUCUGGCAUGAAGCCUAUGAUUAAUAAA